AUUGAACGCUGGCGGCAGGCCUAACACAUGCAAGUCGAGCGGAUGAGUGGAGCUUGCUCCAUGAUUCAGCGGCGGACGGGUGAGUAAUGCCUAGGAAUCUGCCUGGUAGUGGGGGACAACGUUUCGAAAGGAACGCUAAUACCGCAUACGUCCUACGGGAGAAAGCAGGGGACCUUCGGGCCUUGCGCUAUCAGAUGAGCCUAGGUCGGAUUAGCUAGUUGGUGAGGUAAAGGCUCACCAAGGCGACGAUCCGUAACUGGUCUGAGAGGAUGAUCAGUCACACUGGAACUGAGACACGGUCCAGACUCCUACGGGAGGCAGCAGUGGGGAAUAUUGGACAAUGGGCGAAAGCCUGAUCCAGCCAUGCCGCGUGUGUGAAGAAGGUCUUCGGAUUGUAAAGCACUUUAAGUUGGGAAGAAGGGCAGUAAGUUAAUACCUUGCUGUUUUGACGUUACCGACAGAAUAAGCACCGGCUAACUUCGUGCCAGCCGCCGCCGUAA
rnacentral:rRNA from 1 species